GUAAGGGCCUAUUGAGACUAUAUGAGGUUGGUAGGACUUACCAUUAAUCUCUAUGAAACUCUGGGGUACCCUAAAGAUGCAACAAGAGCUCUUGGCAGCUGAUUUGGUGAGUAAUGUUGGUGGGUUGGAUAUUUUCUGGUGCAUCCACUUGAGGCGAUCCUUGUUCACUUCCCAGAUCUUUAUGACAUGCUGGCUUCCUUCCCCUUCUGCUGAAUUGCACCCCAUUUCAGUCACCGAUUAUGGGUCUGAGAUUCAAUACUAAUCUUGGGAAUAGGCUUUUUAUUCAAG
rnacentral:misc_RNA from 1 species